AUUGAACGCUGGCGGUAGGCCUAACACAUGCAAGUCGAGCGGAUGAAGGGAGCUUGCUUCUGGAUUCAGCGGCGGACGGGCGAGUAAUGCCUAGGAAUCUGCCUGUUUGCUGGGGAGAACGUCCGGAAACGGGCGCUAAUACCGCAUACGUCCUGAGGGAGAAAGGGGGGGAGCUUCGGACCUUACGCUAUUAGAUGAGCCUAGGUCGGAUUAGCUAGUUGGUGGGGUAAAGGCCUACCAAGGCGACGAUCCGUAGCUGGUCUGAGAGGAUGAUCAGUCACACUGGAACUGAGACACGGUCCAGACUCCUACGGGAGGCAGCAGUGGGGAAUAUUGGACAAUGGGCGAAAGCCUGAUCCAGCCAUGCCGCGUGUGUGAAGAAGGUCUUCGGAUUGUAAAGCACUUUAAGUUGGGAGGAAGGGCAGUAAGUUAAUACCUUGCUGUUUUGACGUUACCAACAGAAUAAGCACCGGCUAACUUCGUG
rnacentral:rRNA from 1 species